AUACACACAUAUAUAUGCUUAAAAAAAAAAAAAACAACUGUGAGAUGAUUUUAUCAUUAUUUAAAUUUUUAAAAGCUACAAGCAAUGAAAUGUGAUUUUACAGAUUCUUUGUUUUUAGUAAUUUAUUUUUUUAUAAUAUUAUAUGGUUAAAAAUAACCUACAUGUAGAUGAGAAUAAAAAAAAAAAAACAAAAGGAAGUCUAAGUAGUAACAUUAGCGCAUUAGUAACCGUAGUAGCAGUUCCAAAUUUGAAAAGUACCCAAAUAGUUGCCAAAAACAGACGCAAAGAAUCUGUGAUAGAAAAAAAAAAAAAAAAAUAUAUAUAUAUAUAUACAUACAUACAUACAUACAUACACACAUACAUACAUACAUACACACAUACAUACACACAUACAUACACACAUACAUACAUACAUACAUACAUACACACAUACAUACAUACAUACAUACAUACACAUGUAUCAUUUUUUCCAAAAUAUGAAAUAAUGGAAAAGCCGGAAUAUAACAUCGCAUUAAACAAAAAGAAAGCAAAUGCGACCAAUGAAGUGAUGGCAGUAGAGGAUGCGGAUGACAGUACAUAUUAUAAUUACACACAUAUGAUGUCUUGCAAUAAUUUAAUGAUAGAUGAUAUAUUAGACUACCGUUUGAUAGAAAAAGCAAAAUAUAAUUAUUUGAAUUCAAAAACAUGCGUGAUAAAAGAAAAGAACUCGAAUGAUAAGAAAAACAAAGAGAGCAAAAAAAAAUAUUCCAAUAAGGACAAAUUAAAAGAUAAUAAUAAAGAGUAUAAUAAAACGUCUACAACUGAAUUUAACUUAAAUAAUUAUUUUUUAGUACCAGAUGAGAUAAGACAUAAAUAUACCAAAACAUAUUUAUUUCAGAUUUCUAAAAGAUUACUUGUUAUGAAAAAACCUUGGAGGUUACCUAAAAAUGUCGAAUUAAAAAUUAAUAAUAUAUGUCAUUUAAGUAAUUAUAUAAAAGUGUUAGAAAGGAUAUCAAGUGAAUAUUUAAAUGAUCAACCAAUAAAUUAUUAUUAUAAAGGCUUAGAUGCAUAUAACAAAAACGUGUUUGCAAAUAUUGAUUACCUAUUAAAAAAAGUAGAUAUAAAAAAAUACCCAAAAAAAAGUUCCAGAAAAAAUUUAAUAAAAAUUAAUGAAUACUAUUAUGAUUUAAGUACCUUUGGUAAAUCUCCUAAAUCCAUUUUUUAUCAAACAUAUGCUAUUUGGGAUAUACAUGGAAAUAAUUUGACAUUAGAAGAUGAAUAUGAAAGCUUUUUUGACGGACAAAUAAUAGAUUAUGGUUAUGGUGAAAAAGAAUAUCCUAAUUUAAAAUAUCUUUUAAAUAUAUGUAGUUCGAUAUUAUUUUGGUUAAAUUUUAAUAAAAAAGAAAAUUUUGCUAUUUUAAAUUAUCAUAAACCUAGCUCUUUUAUUUUGCUAAUUUUUGCUUGUGUUAUGCUAGCCAUCGAUAACAGUUUAACAUUUGACCAAAUACAAGAAAUCAUGUUCAAGUCAUCCAAAAUUAAUAAUAAUAGUGAUAAUGAAAAAGAAUAUAAUUCAUCCCACAAUAUGGUUAAUAAACAAAUAUCAACUAACUACUUUAAAAACAAGGCAACUAAUGAUGACAAUAAUGGUACUUAUAGUUAUUUUAAUGA
rnacentral:lncRNA from 1 species